CCAUCAAGCGCCGCCGAGAUUCCAACGGUUACUAGCGGCCGGCAGCUACCUAGCGGUUGCUCCCUCCUCAAGCCCGAUCAUCCCCUCGAUCUCGUCGGAGCGGGCGGAGACCGGGCCGCGGCGAUGACGGUGAUCGACAUCCUCAUGCGGGUGGACGCCAUCUGCCAGAAGUACGACAAGUUCGACACCGAGAAGCUCAACGGCACCAACGUCGCCGGCGAGGACCCCUUCGCCCGCCUCUACGGCUCCGUCGACGCCGAGAUCUCCCAGUGCGUAGAGGUACCCCGCCCCUUCUCCCUCCGC
rnacentral:rRNA from 1 species